GGAAAAAUUGUUGCUCCAGAAUUGUAUAUGGCUUUUGGUGUUUCUGGAGCCAUUCAACACAUAGCUGGCAUGAGAGAUUCCAGGGUCAUUGUUGCUGUAAAUAAAGAUUCAGAUGCACCUAUAUUCCAGGUAGCUGAUUAUGGGCUCGUUGGUGAUCUUUUUGAGGUGAUACCAGAGUUGUUAGAGAAGCUUCCGGAGAAGAAGUAGACCUGCACUGCAUAC
rnacentral:misc_RNA from 1 species